UUAAGCGACUAAGCGUACACGGUGGAUGCCCUGGCAGUCAGAGGCGAUGAAGGACGUGCUAAUCUGCGAUAAGCGUCGGUAAGGUGAUAUGAACCGUUAUAACCGGCGAUUUCCGAAUGGGGAAACCCAGUGUGUUUCGACACACUAUCAUUAACUGAAUCCAUAGGUUAAUGAGGCGAACCGGGGAACUGAAACAUCUAAGUACCCCGAGGAAAGAAAUCAACCGAGAUUCCCCAGUAGCGGCGAGCGAACGGGAGCAGCCCAGAGCCUGAAUCAGUGUGUGUGUUAGUGGAAGCGUCUGGAAAGGCGCGCGAUACAGGUGACAGCCCCGUACACAAAAAUGCAUGCUGUGAGCUCGAUGAGUAGGGCGGACACGUGGUAUCCUGUCUGAAUAUGGGGACCAUCCUCCAAGGCUAAAUACUCUGACUGACCGAUAGUGAACCAGUACCGUGAGGGAAAGGCGAAAAGAACCCCGGCGAGGGUGAAAAGAACCUGAAACCGUGUACGUACAAGCAGUGGGAGCACGCUUAGGCGUGUGACUGCGUACCUUUGUAUAAUGGGUCAGCGACUUAUAUUCUGUAGCAAGGUUAACCGAAUAGGGAGCCGAAGGAAACCGAGUCUUAACUGGGCGUUAAGUUGCAGGGUAUAGACCCGAAACCCGGUGAUCAGCCAUGGGCAGGUUGAAGGUUGGGUAACACUAACUGGAGGACCGAACCGACUAAUGUUGAAAAAUUAGCGGAUGACUUGUGGCUGGGGGUGAAAGGCCAAUCAAACCGGGAGAUAGCUGGUUCUCCCCGAAAGCUAUUUAGGUAGCGCCUCGUGAAUUCAUCUCCGGGGUAGAGCACUGUUUCGGCAAGGGGUCAUCCGACUUACCAACCCGAUGCAAACUGCGAAUACCGGAGAAUGUUAUCACGGAGACACACGGCGGUGCUAACGUCCGUCGUGAAGAGGGAAACAACCCAGACCGCCAGCUAAGGUCCCAAAGUCAUGGUUAAGUGGGAAACGAUGUGGGAAGGCCCAGACAGCCAGGAUGUUGGCUUAGAAGCAGCCAUCAUUUAAAGAAAGCGUAAUAGCUCACUGGUCGAGUCGGCCUGCGCGGAAGAUGUAACGGGGCUAAACCAUGCACCGAAGCUGCGGCAGCGACGCUGAUGCGUUGUUGGGUAGGAGCGUUCUGUAAGCCUGCGAAGGUGUGCUGUGAGGCAUGCUGGAGGUAUCAGAAGUGCGAAUGCUGACAUAAGUAACGAUAAAGCGGGUGAAAAGCCCGCUCGCCGGAAGACCAAGGGUUCCUGUCCAACGUUAAUCGGGGCAGGGUGAGUCGACCCCUAAGGCGAGGCCGAAAGGCGUAGUCGAUGGGAAACAGGUUAAUAUUCCUGUACUUGGUGUUACUGCGAAGGGGGGACGGAGAAGGCUAUGUUGGCCGGGCGACGGUUGUCCCGGUUUAAGCGUGUAGGCUGGUUUUCCAGGCAAAUCCGGAAAAUCAAGGCUGAGGCGUGAUGACGAGGCACUACGGUGCUGAAGCAACAAAUGCCCUGCUUCCAGGAAAAGCCUCUAAGCAUCAGGUAACAUCAAAUCGUACCCCAAACCGACACAGGUGGUCAGGUAGAGAAUACCAAGGCGCUUGAGAGAACUCGGGUGAAGGAACUAGGCAAAAUGGUGCCGUAACUUCGGGAGAAGGCACGCUGAUAUGUAGGUGAGGUCCCUCGCGGAUGGAGCUGAAAUCAGUCGAAGAUACCAGCUGGCUGCAACUGUUUAUUAAAAACACAGCACUGUGCAAACACGAAAGUGGACGUAUACGGUGUGACGCCUGCCCGGUGCCGGAAGGUUAAUUGAUGGGGUUAGCGCAAGCGAAGCUCUUGAUCGAAGCCCCGGUAAACGGCGGCCGUAACUAUAACGGUCCUAAGGUAGCGAAAUUCCUUGUCGGGUAAGUUCCGACCUGCACGAAUGGCGUAAUGAUGGCCAGGCUGUCUCCACCCGAGACUCAGUGAAAUUGAACUCGCUGUGAAGAUGCAGUGUACCCGCGGCAAGACGGAAAGACCCGUGAACCUUUACUAUAGCUUGACACUGAACAUUGAGCCUUGAUGUAGGAUAGGUGGGAGGCUUUGAAGUGUGGACGCCAGUCUGCAUGGAGCCGACGAAAUACCACCCUUUAAUGUUUGAUGUUCUAACGUUGACCCGUAAUCCGGGUUGCGGACAGUGUCUGGUGGGUAGUUUGACUGGGGCGGUCUCCUCCUAAAGAGUAACGGAGGAGCACGAAGGUUGGCUAAUCCUGGUCGGACAUCAGGAGGUUAGUGCAAUGGCAUAAGCCAGCUUGACUGCGAGCGUGACGGCGCGAGCAGGUGCGAAAGCAGGUCAUAGUGAUCCGGUGGUUCUGAAUGGAAGGGCCAUCGCUCAACGGAUAAAAGGUACUCCGGGGAUAACAGGCUGAUACCGCCCAAGAGUUCAUAUCGACGGCGGUGUUUGGCACCUCGAUGUCGGCUCAUCACAUCCUGGGGCUGAAGUAGGUCCCAAGGGUAUGGCUGUUCGCCAUUUAAAGUGGUACGCGAGCUGGGUUUAGAACGUCGUGAGACAGUUCGGUCCCUAUCUGCCGUGGGCGCUGGAGAACUGAGGGGGGCUGCUCCUAGUACGAGAGGACCGGAGUGGACGCAUCACUGGUGUUCGGGUUGUCAUGCCAAUGGCACUGCCCGGUAGCUAAAUGCGGAAGAGAUAAGUGCUGAAAGCAUCUAAGCACGAAACUUGCCCCGAGAUGAGUUCUCCCUGACUCCUUGAGAGUCCUGAAGGAACGUUGAAGACGACGACGUUGAUAGGCCGGGUGUGUAAGCGCAGCGAUGCGUUGAGCUAACCGGUACUAAUGAACCGUGAGGCUUAACCU
rnacentral:rRNA from 1 species